GGAAGAACCCAGACUGUCAGAGAGGAUUCUACACGGCGCUCUCAUCACCACCUCCAUAUUCAUCACGACUGGGGUGCUGAUAGCGCACGCUGCCAACCACAACAUCACGUCUCAGAUCAAGUCAACACGACGUUUCAUCAGCACCAACAUGAGAGACCUGAAGACCUUCGCUAACAACACACCGGCGCAAAUUGACCAUCUGA